GGAUUGGGAGGGUUCUACGGAACCCGUUUGGUGAAUCUAGUGCCGAGAAAAGCCUUCUAUGUGUUGAAUUUCUAGUACCCGUACCCCAAACCGACACAGGUGGGUGGGUAGAGCAUACCUAGGGGCGCGUGAUAACUCUCUCUAAGGAACUCGGCAAAAUGGCCCUGUAACUUCGGGAUAAGGGGUGCCUGCGUGAGCAGGCCGCAGUGAAAUGGCUCUGGCGACUGUUUGCCAAAAACACAGGUCUCUGCUAAGUCGUAAGACGAUGUAUAGGGGCUGACUCCUGCCCAGUGCCGGAAGGUUAAGGAAGUUGGUUAGCGCAAGCGAAGCUGGCGACCGAAGCCCCGGUGAACGGCGGCCGUAACAAUAACGGUCCUAAGGUAGCGAAAUUCCUUGUCGGGUAAGUUCCGACCCGCACGAAAGGAGUAACAUCAGAGCGCUGUCUCGGAGAGAGACACGGCGAAAUAGGAUUGUCCGUGAAGAUACGGACUACCUGCACCCGGACAGAAAGACCCUAUGAAGCUUUACUGUAACUUGGAAUUGUGUUCGGACUUUGUCUGCGCAGAAUAGGUGGGAGGCUAUGAAACGUUCCUCGCGGGGAACUGGAGCCAUCGUUGAGAUACCACUCUGGCAGUGUCUGGAUUCUAACCUACGGGGACAGUUCCAGGUGGGCAGUUUGACUGGGGCGGUCGCCUCCUAAAAUGUAACGGAGGCGCGCAAAGGUUCCCUCAGGCUGGUUGGAAAUCAGCCAUAGAGUGUAAAAGCAUAAGGGAGCUUGACUGUGAGACCUACAAGUCGAGCAGGGACGAAAGUCGGCUUUAGUGAUCCGACGGCACUGAGUGGAAGGGCCGUCGCUCAACGGAUAAAAGUUACUCUAAGGAUAACAGGCUGAUCUCCCCCAAGAGUUCACAUCGACGGGGAGGUUUGGCACCUUGAUGUCGGCUCGUCGCAACCUGGGGCGGUAGUACGUCCCAAGGGUUGGGCUGUUCGCCCAUUAAAGCGGCACGUGAGCUGGGUUCAGAACGUCGUGAGACAGUUCGGUCCAUAUCCGGUGUAGGCGUAGGAGCAUUGAAAGGAUCUCUCCUUAGUACGAGAGGACCGGGAGGGACGUACCUCUGGUGUACCUGUUAUCGUGCCAACGGUAAACGCAGGGUAGCCAUGUACGGAGUGGAUAACCGCUGAAAGCAUCUAAGUGGGAAGCCCACCUUAAGAUGAGUGCUCCCUUGAGGCCACGGGAAGACGACCCGUUUGAUAGGCGCUAGGUGGAAGUGCAGUAAUGCAUGCAGCCGAGGCGUACUAAUAGGCCGAUGGC
rnacentral:rRNA from 1 species